UGUUCUGUGGCUUAGUUGGUUAAAGCGCCGGUCUAGCGAAUACGAAGUCGUGGGUUCGAAUCCCACCAGAACGC
rfam:Aedes albopictus isolate Foshan contig79096, whole genome shotgun sequence.